rnacentral:tRNA from 1 species
GCCUCGAUAGUCUAGUGGUUUAGGAUUCACCCCUGUCACGGGUGAGACUCGGGUUCAAGUCCCGGUCGAGGCG